CUACUCGGCAACUAAUUGUGUUGGUUCGGGAAUGUUAAGCGAACACUCUUGUAGGCAUCUGUAGAGCUGACCAUCUUGGUAGAUUGUACUGUCUGAAGCUGUCCCAUUACAGCCCACAUCCGUAAAGAGGAAUCUGCCAUGUGCGUCUACCAAUGCAAAUAGCACGGACAACAUAGAUGUACAUAUCUAUUGAAGAGGGAGAAGUUGCAAUUACCAAGUUAAAUAGCUUUGACAUCAGGUACACACCGUCGACAUCACGGGCGAACCGGAGUAGGGAAGAAGGUGCUGAAAUAGCCAAAUUUUACGAGGCACUAGCACAAAUUGUCAGUUUGAGUAAGCCUACAAACGAUGUGUUCAGCUCUUUCGCGGAGAGCAUGGCAACACAACUGCGUACCAUGCCUGAAAAAGUUGCAUACCAAACAAUGGCUGACUUGCAAAAUUUGUUGGUCCGGCGGAAAUUCAUUAACGCAAAUGAUGGUUGAGAGCAGGGUGCCAAGAUUGUUUAAAAAAGAGCGCAGUUUCUA